CCACCCCAUCAUCGGUUUGGGGCCAAAACCGCCGGACCGGCACCCGCCGCUGCCGCGGGACCGGAGCGCAGGGAGCAGGGCAGAGCCGAGCCCGCCGAGCAGCCGCCAUGGCUGAGGAGCUCAGUGACCUGCUGAGAGAGUUUGAUGAGGUGAUGGAGGACUUUGACCGGGGCCCUGCGUGUCAGUACCAGCAGCACCUGGAAGAGCUGAAGAGGAAAGCGGGACACAGCGUGUAUGACAGUGGCAUCGAUGAGCUGGAGAGUGCCAGCACGUCCCCAGGAAGCAGCCUCAACUCCAGUGAGGAGCACCUCAACACCCCAGCCGACACCUACCCUGCCAAAGCUAAGCUUGGUGACACGCAGGAGCUGGAGGAGUUCAUCGCGGACCUGGAUAAAGCCUUGGAGGGCUCUUUCAGCUGGGGCAGAAACACAAGGGCUGCCUGUCUGGUGCCUCAGCUGAAGAGAUGGAGGUGCUGGUACCUGGGGAGGGGACUGGGGAUAUGAAGGCCAUGCUGGCCCUGGCAAGGAUGCCCAACAGGACAACCUGCAGAGCUGUUGAUGCUUCUGGAAAGAUGCAGAGGCGCCUGUGGCUCUCUGCCUGCAGCCUCCUUCCAGCUCCUGCUUGGAGGCUGCUCUUUGCUUGAGGGGGAAAGAGAUGUGAGAUGUGGUUCGAGGUUUGCAGAGGAGGAUCCCCAGCAGCCGAGCCCCCCUGAUGCCUGCCUGAUGCACCUUCUGCUUCUGCACUCACUGCUGGCCUGGGGAUGGCUCCUGGGGCCGUGCUGGGGCCGGGGACAGGUACAGGCAUGGGCAGUGGGGACGGAUCUGGCCGUGGGACAGUGGUGGCAGGACCCUGCCAGCGCUGAGAGAGGACAACCCUGGGUGGGCACGGGGGCUGGUGGCUCCCGGGACUGAGUGGGUUGAGGAGGUCUGUGCCACUGAUGAAGCCCUUGGAGACCCCCUGGGUGAUUUUGGGGAAGGACAUCAGUGUGACUUUGGUGUCCCCUCCAGGUUGGGAGAGCCCGUUCCCCCGGUGGCAUCUGUCACAGGUGGUGGCAGCCACUGCUGGCCCUUUGCUUUGCAUGGGGCCCCCCAAAUCUGGCCCAUGCCUGCCCCCCCAAGUGCCUCUGCCCCAGCUGCUGCUGCUGUAAAUACUGUAAAAAGGAUGUUUUGGGCUGUACAGAGAGAAUGUGUUUCUAUAAACAGGAUUUUAAGCCUC